rnacentral:rRNA from 1 species
CACGUGGGUAACUUGCCCAAGAGACUGGGGAUAACACCUGGAAACAGAUGCUAAUACCGGAUAACAACACUAGACGCAUGUCUAGAGUUUGAAAGAUGGUUCUGCUAUCACUCUUGGAUGGGACCUGCGGUGCAUUAGCUAGUUGGUAAGGUAACGGCUUACCAAGGCAAUGAUGCAUAGCCGAGUUGAGAGACUGAUCGGCCACAUUGGGACUGAGACACGGCCCAAACUCCUACGGGAGGCAGCAGUAGGGAAUCUUCCACAAUGGACGAAAGUCUGAUGGAGCAACGCCGCGUGAGUGAAGAAGGGUUUCGGCUCGUAAAGCUCUGUUGGUAGUGAAGAAAGAUAGAGGUAGUAACUGGCCUUUAUUUGACGGUAAUUACUUAGAAAGUCACGGCUAACUACGUGCCAGCAGCCGCGGUAAUACGUAGGUGGCAAGCGUUGUCCGGAUUUAUUGGGCGUAAAGCGAGUGCAGGCGGUUCAAUAAGUCUGAUGUGAAAGACUUCGGCUCAACCGGAGAAUUGCAUCAGAAACUGUUGAACUUGAGUGCAGAAGAGGAGAGUGGAACUCCAUGUGUAGCGGUGGAAUGCGUAGAUAUAUGGAAGAACACCAGUGGCGAAGGCGGCUCUCUGGUCUGCAACUGACGCUGAGGCUCGAAAGCAUGGGUAGCGAACAGGAUUAGAUACCCUGGUAGUCCAUGCCGUAAACGAUGAGUGCUAAGUGUUGGGAGGUUUCCGCCUCUCAGUGCUGCAGCUAACGCAUUAAGCACUCCGCCUGGGGAGUACGACCGCAAGGUUGAAACUCAAAGGAAUUGACGGGGGCCCGCACAAGCGGUGGAGCAUGUGGUUUAAUUCGAAGCAACGCGAAGAACCUUACCAGGUCUUGACAUCCAGUGCAAACCUAAGAGAUUAGGUGUUCCCUUCGGGGACGCUGAGACAGGUGGUGCAUGGCUGUCGUCAGCUCGUGUCGUGAGAUGUUGGGUUAAGUCCCGCAACGAGCGCAACCCUUGUCAUUAGUUGCCAUCAUUAAGUUGGGCACUCUAGUGAGACUGCCGGUGACAAACCGGAGGAAGGUGGGGACGACGUCAGAUCAUCAUGCCCCUUAUGACCUGGGCUACACACGUGCUACAAUGGACGGUACAACGAGUCGCAAGCUCGCGAGAGUAAGCUAAUCUCUUAAAGCCGUUCUCAGUUCGGACUGUAGGCUGCAACUCGCCUACACGAAGUCGGAAUCGCUAGUAAUCGCGGAUCAGCAUGCCGCGGUGAAUACGUUCCCGGGCCUUGCACUCACCGCCCGUCA